CGGCUCGGCCUCGCGUCUUUCUUCUCCCCCUGCGACUCCCGCAACCGCGCCGCCGCCACUCCCUCUUCUAUCUCUCCAUCUGCGCCACCCGUCUCUCCCACUAGUGCGCCGCCUCUCCUCUUCCAUCCCUCUCUGGCGAUGCAUCUCCAUCACCUAUCAGCUCCGCGUCGGGUGGCUGCAGAUCUCCAUGUCGAGCUGCUGUGGAUCUCUGGCGAUGCUCCAUGUCGGGUCGCUGCGGAUCUUCGUGAGCUGAAACUGGAUCGCGGUAAGCGGCUGCACCUCGCAAGCAAGCUAUGUGCUGGUGAACUCGUUGCUGUCCCUCAGUAGCGACUUUGUGGUGUCGGCCAGUGACUGCCAGCUCCGGCUGCAGUGCUAAUCCCUUAUCUAUGUGCCACAGUUGGGCAAGCAGCGACAAUCAACUACUGAAUCGAUUCGGGAAUACGUAUUAUUGUGUUCUGAAACUUGGUAGAUUUUCCUAAUCACAGCAGCAUGAUUUUGUGUAAAUGGCUAGUAUUUUGACAUAUCUUUUGACAUAUAUAUGGAUGGAGGCUUUGCAUUUUGACAUGAAUAUGAAUGCAUAACUUGUAUUUUGACAGUUUUUAGGCUAGUUUUUUGACAGAUUUUUGACAUGUACUAUAUGAGUGAAUAACUAGUAUUUUGUUUGGCACUUUUUAUUAUGUGUUAUAAAUACAAAGACUAAUGAC
rnacentral:rRNA from 1 species